rnacentral:tRNA from 1 species
GCGAGUGUAGUACAAUGGCAGUAUACAUCCUUCCCAAGGAUGAGACGCGGGUCCGAUUCCCGUCACUCGCUCCA